AUUACCGCGGCUGCUGGCACGUAGUUAGCCGGUGCUUAUUCUUACGGUACCGUCAUGACCCGAGGAUAUUAGCCUCAGGCUUUUCGUUCCGUACAAAAGCAGUUUACAACCCGAGGGCCUUCAUCCUGCACGCGGCAUUGCUGGAUCAGGCUUGCGCCCAUUGUCCAAAAUUCCCCACUGCUGCCUCCCGUAGGAGU
rnacentral:rRNA from 1 species